rnacentral:misc_RNA from 1 species
GAUGAAGAACGCAGCAAAAUGCGAUAAGUAAUGUGAAUUGCAGAAUUCAGUGAAUCAUCGAAUCUUUGAACGCACAUUGCGCCCGCCAGUAUUCUGGCGGGCAUGCCUGUCCGAGCGUCAUUUCAACCCUCAAGCCCCCGGGCUUGGUGUUGGAGAUCGGCGAGCCCCCCGGGGCGCGCCGUCUCCCAAAUAUAGUGGCGGUCCCGCUGUAGCUUCCUCUGCGUAGUAGCACACCUCGCACUGGGAAACAGCGUGGCCACGCCGUAAAACCCCCCACUUCUGAAAGGUUGACCUCGGAGCAGGUAGGAAUACCCGCUGAACUUAAGCAUAUCAAUAAGCGGAGGA